rnacentral:piRNA from 1 species
UGAACACCAGACAGGUGGAGAAGAUGGCUU